rnacentral:lncRNA from 1 species
GUCGGGGUUCUGAGAAAAGAGAGCUGAGUGGGAGUCGGGCCAGGCUGAUGUGUGCCCAAGGGAGGGGAAAAGAGAGAGCGAAGUUCCUGCGAAGAACUGCGGGAAUGUGCGGCCGGAAUUCACUCUCCACCGCCCCCCUUAUCCCGACUAGGCUGCUGAGGGAGCGCCUGGGCCCUGCUCGCGGAUACCCUGCCACUCCUAAUAGCACGGCGCCCAGGGACCCUCCGCCACCCAUCACUCCAUCCGUGGGAUUCCAGUGCCUUAAGAAAGACGCGCUGUUCAAGAAGGCACGUUCAUUCUGUUCUAUAUUUCCCUCCUCCGUUUCAUUAUUCGCCUUUUCACAUUUGCCGAAACCAUAAUGAUGGAAUGGAAUGUGUAGCCUUUCCGUUUUCUUUUUAAAAAAUGCUAAAGCUUAGCAAAAAUGGUCUACAUACACAUUAAUCGAGAAAAUCAGAAUUAUGAAACUCAGAAGGGCUUUCUU